rnacentral:rRNA from 1 species
GCCAGCCCGCUCAGAAACUCAAAGGAAUUGACGGGGGCCCGCACAAGCGGUGGAGCAUGUGGUUUAAUUCGAUGAUACGCGAGGAACCUUACCUGGGCUCGAACGUAAGAUGACUGUAGGUGAAAGCUUACAUCUCUUCGGAGCAUUUUACGAGGUGCUGCAUGGUUGUCGUCAGCUCGUGCCGUGGGGUGUCGGGUUAAGUCCCAUAACGAGCGCAACCCCUACCUUUAGUUGCCAUCAGGUUAAGCUGGGGACUCUAAAGGAACUGCCUACGCAAGUAGUGAGGAAGGCGGGGAUGACGUCAAAUCAGCACGGCCCUUACGUCCAGGGCUACACACGUGCUACAAUGGCCGAUACAGAGGGCAGCUACCUGGUGACAGGAUGCAAAUCUCCAAAGUCGGUCUCAGUUCGGAUCGGAGUCUGCAACCCGACUCCGUGAAGUUGGAUUCGCUAGUAAUCGCGCAUCAGCCAUGGCGCGGUGAAUACGUUCCCGGGCCUU